GGCGACGUACCCAAGUUGGUAAGGGGCGAGUCUGCAAAACUCUUAUUCAUCAGUUCGAGUCUGAUCGUUGCCUCUA
rnacentral:tRNA from 2 species